rnacentral:tRNA from 1 species
GCCGCUAUAGCUCAGUUGGUAGAGCGCGGCACUAGUAAUGCCGAGGUCUUCGGUUCAAAUCCGAAUGGUGGCA